rnacentral:lncRNA from 1 species
UAUAAUGGAUUUGAAAAAAAAAACAUAUAAUUAGCAUCAACCUUUAUAAACAGAUCAUACAUUUUUCUAUUUGUUACAAACAAAAAGAUAAAAUUAUGAAUAAACUUAUAUGUUGUGCUUAUGCUAUAAUUUGUUGGUGGUAAGACUUUUUUCUCAUACUUUUCAAAGUUUAUAUCUUUGAAUUAUGUAUUUUAGUAAUAUUAAUUUAUUCUUAUAUUAAAUUAAAGCUGAUUUUUGUGAGGAACACUAUGAUUGCAUCUAUGAGGAGUGUUCACAUCGGUUUGACGAGUGCAUUUAUAACAAGCGCCAAUGCAUAUAACCUACCGGUUAAGUUUAAGUUAGUUCUAAAUUACUUUUAAGUGUAUAAUUUUAUUUUCACAUCAUAAUGAUGUUAUUCAUAUCAUGUCUCUGACACUUGAAAAUAUUUAUUUAAUAGGCCUAGAAGAACAUUAUGAUAUCAUGCAAAAAUUGACACCUUUGUUAUCUUUUAUAAGAUAUGGACACAACAAUGUUACUACAUGAUUAGAAUUAGUUACUUUAGUAAAGAAAAGAAGACUUAAAUAGUUUUUUCAUCCAUGUAAGUAGGUGUGUUUUUAUUUUUAGUCACUAAACCUUUGAUUUGUGGAAAUAAUUUGUGAAUGUUUGGUUUAGUCCUUAAAAUUAAAAUUCGUAUGAAAAUCUGCAUGUUUCUUGCGGAUUUUCCUAUGGAUUUUCCUGCGGAUUUUCACUUUAUGGACUAAACUCAAAAUGAUUUUAACAUUCCAAGACUAUUUCCAAAGAAAAGAUUUAAGGACUAAAAACAAGAACGCGUCAACUAACAAGGACGAAAAGACUAUUUAAGCCAUAAAAAUAUGAUGAUUUAAAAUAAUUAUAUAGUCUAUCUCUAUAUUUCGUAUAAGAGUUGAUGGCGUGCUAAAGGCUUAAAUUUCAUACAUGUGUGCAUAACAACUUUAGAUAAAUUUUGAUAAUCAUUAUUUUUAUGUAUUUUUAUAUUUUGAGCUUUGCAGUUUAACAAUUCCUAUAAAAUACAAGAAAGAGACUAAUAGACAUAAACCUAAAAAGAUAAUGAAUGCAAAAAUAUUGAACUUAUCACAGAUAGUCAUUCAUACAUUAUAUAAUCAAUUCAAAUUUUAUAUAAUUUACCUUAUAUUUGUAUACUACAAUGAUGGAUGAAUAAAAAUAAGCGGGAAGUUUAUGAUGUAUUAAAUUUAUAAUGAGAUUGACUAGUUGACUACUAUCUAUCACAAGUGAAAUAAAUAUGAAUAAUACUCAUUAUUCUAAUAAGGAAAAAAUUAAUUAAUAUAAAUAUUAUCAAUUGACUUAAAAUUGUCUACAUAUUUUUUGUUAAUGAAUGUUAAAUAUAUAAAAAUUAUGAGCAACAACAUUAUAGAAUUUAUGGUUAGUUUGAGGAGUACAAGUGUUUGUAGCUAAGUAGGGGUGGCAAAAUGGGCUCGGCCCGUUGGGCAUGCCCGUUUUGCCCGCACUUUUGUGCGGGGCGGACCAAGGAUUUAGGCCCUCACCCUCAAAUAUGUCCGCCCCGCCCCUCCCGUUGGGCAUGCCCGUUUUGCCCGCACUUUUGUGCGGGGCGGACCAAGGAUUUAGGCCCUCACCCUCAAAUAUGUCCGCCCCGCCCCGCCCCAUUUUUUUGCGGGCUUUUGCGGGCACAUGUAUUUACAUA